UACGAAGGGUGCAAGCGUUAAUCGGAAUUACUGGGCGUAAAGGGUGCGUAGGCGGUUGUUUAAGUCUGUCGUGAAGUCCCCGGGCUCAACCUGGGAAUGGCGAUGGAUACUGGGCAGCUAGAGUGUGUCAGAGGAUGGUGGAAUUCCCGGUGUAGCGGUGAAAUGCGUAGAGAUCGGGAGGAACACCAGUGGCGAAGGCGGCCUUCUGGACCAAUACUGACGCUCAUGCACGAAAGCGUGGGGAGCAAACAGG
rnacentral:rRNA from 1 species